GCCUACGUGGCAUAGUCGUUAAGACGACCGAUUAUGGUACGGUAGGAUUCGGGUUCGAGUCCCGGUGAAGUCA